GACGAACGCUGGCGGCGUGCUUAACACAUGCAAGUUGAACAGAAAGGCCCUGCUUUUGUGGGGUGCUCGAGUGGCGAACGGGUGAGUAACACGUGAGUAACCUGCCCUUGACUUUGGGAUAACUUCAGGAAACUGGGGCUAAUACCGGAUAGGAGCUCCUGCUGCGUGGUGGGGGUUGGAAAGUUUCGGCGGUUGGGGAUGGACUCGCGGCUUAUCAGCUUGUUGGUGGGGUAGUGGCUUACCAAGGCUUUGACGGGUAGCCGGCCUGAGAGGGUGACCGGCCACAUUGGGACUGAGAUACGGCCCAGACUCCUACGGGAGGCAGCAGUGGGGAAUAUUGCACAAUGGGCGGAAGCCUGAUGCAGCAACGCCGCGUGCGGGAUGACGGCCUUCGGGUUGUAAACCGCUUUCGCCUGUGACGAAGCGUGAGUGACGGUAAUGGGUAAAGAAGCACCGGCUAACUACGUG
rnacentral:rRNA from 1 species